GUGGGUUGCAAAAGAAGUAGGUAGCUUAACCUUCGGGAGGGCGCUUACCACUUUGUGAUUCAUGACUGGGGUGAAGUCGUAACAAGGUAACCGUAGGGGAACCUGCGGUUGGAUCACCUCCUUACCUAAAAGAA
rnacentral:rRNA from 1 species